GAAAAAGUUUCUAAGAGCAUCUACGACGCAAAGUUUUUAAUUUGAUUUUUAAGUUUAAUUAUAUUAUAUAUAUAUAUAUAUAUAAAAGUAGGAUAUAAUACUUCAGUUUCAAAAAUAUAAUAGUUCAUGCGGAAAAAUAUAAAAGAAUUGAUUUGGCUAUAUAUGUCACCAAAGAGUAGUUAUCUUUUUCGGUCAAAGGUUUUGAUUCAAAAAAGAAUUUCACAGUUAUGAGUGUUUGAACUGGAAUAGUUUUAUGAUGGGUGACCUUCCGAUAAAUGAUUGUCGGAACUAUGCGAGUGAGGAUAAAGCAAGAGAAAAUAUCAUGUGGUAACAAGUCUUUAAAGCUUCUCGGACGUGGCAUACCGACCGUCGGACAGGGGUGUGCUCAUGGGGCUGAGAGAGGACGUAGGAUCCACAUAUAGGAACGGUCGGGGCGUUAAAUAGGGCUUCACUCUCCUUUUAUUAGUCUAUUAGAAUAGUUAUUAGCGUAAGGCGCAGCAAGCCGGCAAAGAUAUAAUGGUGAUAAGAAAAAUAAAUUAAGAAUUUUAGAUUUAUUUUAGUGAAUUUAAAAAGUGCCAAACUUAUUACCCAAAAUAUAUGAAAUAUUUACUGAAAUGUUAUAGAAAGUUGGAAUAUUGUUAGAAUAUCAUACAUUCUCUAAACAUUACUUAUAU
rnacentral:sRNA from 1 species